rnacentral:piRNA from 1 species
UAAAUACAAUGUAAGUUUCUGAGGGUGAUA